rnacentral:rRNA from 1 species
AGUGAACGCUGGCGGUAGGCCUAACACAUGCAAGUCGAACGGCAGCACAGUAAGAGCUUGCUCUUACGGGUGGCGAGUGGCGGACGGGUGAGGAAUACAUCGGAAUCUACUUUUUCGUGGGGGAUAACGUAGGGAAACUUACGCUAAUACCGCAUACGACCUACGGGUGAAAGCAGGGGAUCUUCGGACCUUGCGCGAUUGAAUGAGCCGAUGUCGGAUUAGCUAGUUGGCGGGGUAAAGGCCCACCAAGGCGACGAUCCGUAGCUGGUCUGAGAGGAUGAUCAGCCACACUGGAACUGAGACACGGUCCAGACUCCUACGGGAGGCAGCAGUGGGGAAUAUUGGACAAUGGGCGCAAGCCUGAUCCAGCCAUACCGCGUGGGUGAAGAAGGACUUCGGGUUGUAAAGACCUUUUGUUGGGAAAGAAAAGCAGCAGGUUAAUACCCCGCUGUUCUGACGGUACCAAAAGAAUAAGCACCGGCUAACUUCGUG